ensembl:lncRNA
GUUUUUCAGACUGAUAGAAUAGCCUGCUCCACAGGCUGCUGAAAACAACAGAAACCUCUGAUCUGGGAUCUCCAUCAGGCUUUGACAUCUUGCUGGUGGGAAAAGAAUUGGUGCCAGUACUCAACAUUCGAUUAAUAUUUAUAACAAUAGUAAUGACAAAAUCAAAUACAAGAUGAUGAUUGUAGCUCCUUGAUGGAUUAUUGCUUAUACCCAAAUGUGCUCCUAGAUAAUCCAUAAAAACUUCUCUUAAUGCCUGCCACGUUCUUGUCACCCUGUUCUCUCCUCCACCUACCAGUUUAUUUGUUUUUCCUACUGCGUACCUCAUACAUUUUGAGAUAUAUAAGCAUAGCAAGUAGAACACAUUAUUACAACAUGUGUAGAAAUACUGAAGCUGGCCUUCCACUAGACAUCUUGCUGCAACAUCAUUGUUCCGUGUCCUGUGAAUCAGUAGCACUUGUCACUCCUUUUUCUUAUCCAGUCAUCCCAUUUAGUCCAUUAGAUCCUAUACAACUUGUCUCUGCUUUUAAUAGCUGAGAUGUAAGUUGGUACCAGCUUACUAGUUUACAUCUGGACAAGUUCGGAGGAGUUGUGGUGCCCAAGCAAGUAUACAGAUACUCAUGGUGUGUGACUAUCACAUACCCCUUGCUUACAAUGCCAUCCCACAGCAGGAUGAGAUAUCUCUUGGCUGUCUCUAAUAAGAUGGCUAUGCAGAAAACGUCUAGCACACUGGUGCUGUAAACUCAAUGAUGUACCUAAAUACAUCUCCUGUACAAACCAGAAAAAUUAAUCAAUAUCCCUACAGCCUUCAGACUCUGGAGAAAUUGAAUGAACACACACUGUGGGACCAGGAGAGCAGAAGGCAUUGGAGAAAUCACUCAGCGAGAGAAGAAGAGGGGAAGGAUUUGAGCAGAAAUGGGCUCAGAGGAAGGACAGAGAGGUGGAAGAAUUCCUUUUGCUGAUGUCCAUGGAGCCUCGUUAGCCGGCAAGAACUCACUGCCAGAGAGAGCAGAGAGGCUGAGAUCUCAGCACGACUCAGAAUGGAAAUUACUGUUGGUGAUGGGAACGUCCAGAGAGCUGCUAAUGGAUGACACCACAGCAACCCCGACAGCCAUCACCCAGCCCAAAAACUGCUCUGUGAGGCAGAGCUGAUCCCAUCCCUCCCCGCGAUGUCACAAGCGCCAACACAAAGCCGUGGGACCAGCAUCAAAACAGCUCCCAAUCCAUUUUUCCACCCUCCAAAACCCCCAGAAAGCCAUCAGCGGGGACAGCUCCGCGGAGAGAACGACUCUUCCCGAACCCGAGAAACGGGAUGGAAGGGCUGGUGGUGAAAAAGCAACCCGGAGGAAGAAGCUUUUCGCCCUUCAUCCCCCCCUCCUUGGGGCUCUCGCAGGGUCUCGCCCCGCUGUCGGGUUUUGCAGGGCAGCCGCUGCAGAUGGCGCUGCAAUGUAGGAUUUAGCGGAGUCGCACGAGCGUUCGCGAGGGAGAGGGAGCAGCUCCGGCUUUUAGAACUUAAAACACCGGCUUGGCUUAACAAACUUGUAAAAUGGCGGGGGAAAAAAGGAAAAAAAACAAAGCAAGCCGAAACAACAGCAACAGCUUCUUACAGCCUCCCUUCGUUUAUUUGUUUUUCAGGAUUUUGGGGGGAGGUUGGUGCCUGGGAGGUAAUGGGAGACUCAAGAGGUGUUGUGGGGCUGAGAGAUGGGUGCAUGUGUGGGUGUACUGAGCUUGGCUGCGUGAAGACAACUUGAAUGGGGGCUUGGAGCUUCAUGAUCCUUGAGGUCCCUUCCAACCCGGGCUGUGCUGUGAUUCUGUGAUUUUGCCUCUUCCCAG